GACGAACGCUGGCGGCGUGCCUAAUACAUGCAAGUCGAACGCUUCUUUCCUCCCGAGUGCUUGCACUCGAUUGGAAAGAGGAGUGGCGGACGGGUGAGUAACACGUGGGUAACCUACCCAUCAGAGGGGGAUAACACUUGGAAACAGGUGCUAAUACCGCAUAACAGUUUAUGCCGCAUGGCAUAAGAGUGAAAGGCGCUUUCGGGUGUCGCUGAUGGAUGGACCCGCGGUGCAUUAGCUAGUUGGUGAGGUAACGGCUCACCAAGGCCACGAUGCAUAGCCGACCUGAGAGGGUGAUCGGCCACACUGGGACUGAGACACGGCCCAGACUCCUACGGGAGGCAGCAGUAGGGAAUCUUCGGCAAUGGACGAAAGUCUGACCGAGCAACGCCGCGUGAGUGAAGAAGGUUUUCGGAUCGUAAAACUCUGUUGUUAGAGAAGAACAAGGACGUUAGUAACUGAACGUCCCCUGACGGUAUCUAACCAGAAAGCCACGGCUAACUACGUGCCAGCCGCCGCGGUAA
rnacentral:rRNA from 1 species